rnacentral:rRNA from 1 species
UAGUGGCGAACGGGUGAGUAACACGUGGGCAAUCUGCCCUUCACUCUGGGACAAGCCCUGGAAACGGGGUCUAAUACCGGAUACAACCACUGACCUCAUGGUCGGGUGGUGGAAAGCUCCGGCGGUGAAGGAUGAGCCCGCGGCCUAUCAGCUUGUUGGUGAGGUAAUGGCUCACCAAGGCGACGACGGGUAGCCGGCCUGAGAGGGCGACCGGCCACACUGGGACUGAGACACGGCCCAGACUCCUACGGGAGGCAGCAGUGGGGAAUAUUGCACAAUGGGCGAAAGCCUGAUGCAGCGACGCCGCGUGAGGGAUGACGGCCUUCGGGUUGUAAACCUCUUUCAGCAGGGAAGAAGCGAAAGUGACGGUACCUGCAGAAGAAGCGCCGGCUAACUACGUGCCAGCAGCCGCGGUAAUACGUAGGGCGCAAGCGUUGUCCGGAAUUAUUGGGCGUAAAGAGCUCGUAGGCGGCUUGUCACGUCGGGUGUGAAAGCCCGGGGCUUAACCCCGGGUCUGCAUUCGAUACGGGCUAGCUAGAGUGUGGUAGGGGAGAUCGGAUUUCCU